rnacentral:rRNA from 1 species
UAUUACAGCCAUACCACCCUGAACGCACCCGAUCUCGUCUGAGAAGCUAAGCAGGGUCAGGCCUGGUUAGUGCUUGGAUUGGAGCCCUUAAAA